UUCUCGUCGCCCAAUUCCACAACUGCACUACUUAUUGCUCUAAGUUUCAAAACUCAGCAUCUUAGCUGCGAUCACGGAAAAUCUAGAAAUGAGUUACCUGAACCGCGUUUGCGUGGCGGCUAGCGUGGCCGUGGUGCAAGGCCAUCCCGACCAAGGGUGGAAAGCAAGCUUAAAGACUCUGCAGCACGGCAAGAGACGGCUGUUUUCCGGCGGAGACAAAUCGGAUCUCCGGCCACUAUCUGGUUUUCUCGGAUCAGACGGCGGUGUCGGAGUUCCUGUAAGUCCUAACGGAGACGAGAGAGGGAGGCAAAACGAUGAAUCUUUCCGGCAAGUUAUGUAUCUAAAUUGCUGGGGCCAGGGGUGAAAUUAUGGGAGAUGAGGCUUGAACUAUAUAUGUGAAUUGAGAGUUGGAAGAGGUUGACUCGGAGUCGACUGAGUUGGGAGAGACGAUCCAGCGCGGAUUUAGAAAUACAAAUAGAAUGAUCGUCUCUCUUUUGUAAAAUGUAAGCAUGUAGAGUUAGUCGGUGAGAUCAGAAAAGAGAAGAUGAGAAGUUUGAGUUUGGUAUAAUUUAAUUGUGAAUUUUAAGCAAUAAAAUUAACCAAAUAUGCAGUUAAUGGAAUCAUGAUUUUAUUUCCAUCUCUGAAAUUUAUAUUUCGUUUGGCGUUUGGUCGAUGAAGCAAGCCCUAAAGCGAUUUAAUCUCCUCCUCCUAAUCUCUAAUGAGAUUUGAACAUGUUAACUAUUAGUAUUCUUGAAGAUUUCAAUUUUCAAUUCUAUUCUAAAUUUUGUACUUCAAAUUGCACAAAUUUGAGGAUAUUCAAUUCAGGGUAAUUUGGUUUGAGAGCUCUUGAUUUUGCAGAGAUCCUCUAUAACGUUUAAAUCACUGUCAUGAAUUGCCAUCGGAAUAAUUUUUAUGUAUCGGAACAAUUUGAUGUGCUGCAAAAAAAAGUAGUAAUCCUUCUCUUCUACGGUCACCGGAACUCGAGAACAUAGACUUUUCAGUUCUUUCAUAAACCUUUCCACAUCGUCUACAAUCCUGAUUGGAGAAGCAGAUUACGAUGAUGAUAAGGGAGUAUGUGUUGGAGGAAGCCACUCUGCCCCACCCAUUCAUCUAAAGUCUAAACGCAAUAAAUUCACAGUCCAAUCUGUCUAUUUAGGAUUUGAUAUAAAGUGGCCCAAAGUGGACUUCGGUUCAAGUAUUACUUUAAGCAGAGGCCCAAAUCUUUGUGCACACCAAUGUAAUUCGACAAUCCAAGUUAGGAUAUAACCGAGCCGGUUUGAUAGCUGUUGGAGCUCUGUUCGAAAAAACUUAUUCCGAGCCAUGUUUGAAUUUUGUCCAGCUCAUUUUAUCCAAGUCUUUCUCAUCCGACAUAAAAACGAAGGAAGCAAUGUUAUUGUUAGAGAAGCCGGCUUCUGUGUACAUGUACAAGAAAGAAUACACUGCCAAGAAAUGUUGAUCUCUCCAAUGCAGCAUUUUGCAUAUAAAUUAGGACAUCAUUCCUGAGGAUACUGCGUAAGAAAAGAAAAGCUACAUUAAAUUAAUUGGAUUAAGAAUGGCCAGGUUGAGCAGCAAAGCGACCAUCUUAUUCAGUUUGGUUCUGUUAGUCUCUCUUCUUCUUGCUGAGAGCAGACAGAUUGGCAUUGGAUUUGGACGGGGACAAGCAAGAGCGGAGUGUGAUUCAGUAUAUGGCGCAGAAGAUGGAGAUACAUGUACGAGCGUUGCUAAAAAGUUCGAUGUGAGUCUCGAAUUCUUCACCUCCAUCAAUCCAAAUAUCAAUUGCGAUGACAUUUUUGUCGGCCAGUGGCUCUGCGUCGACGGAACUGCUUAAAGUUUAAAUGCUCUGAUCUGAUCACCUCAUGGAAUGGAUGUAUGAAUAAAUUAAACGGAUUUUCUUGUUCUAGAUAAAAUAAAAGUCGUUCCUUUCACAGAACAAUGUGAAACGCGCAGAAGAAUAGUUAUUGAAGUUUCCAAAUCUUUUCUAAUGAAGUUUCCUUCAGUAAUGGUUAUAUAUAUAUAUAGUAUUGCAUAGAAAAAAAAAUAUAACAUCAGCAAUCUUCAGGGCAGCCCUGCUUUAUGAAUGUUAUAGAACAAGGAAAUUUUGCUCCACUAAUUGUAGUAACUAUCAUUGUUGACUCCAAUUUCAAAUACAAGUGGAGAUUGAAACUUCCAACUACUGGCUAAAUUUGCCACUAACAAAUCAAAACCUUUUUUGACAAUUACAUUAUGAAGAAAAGCCAAUUGCCCACUAAAAAAAUGAAACAA